AUGAAACUUUUGUUUUUGCAGCCGUUAUCAACCCUGUUCCCCCUCAUUUGUCUUGUGCAACUUCAUCUCUCCCAAAAUACUUCACACAGACUCAUAAUCCCUACCCCCACACCUUAUGAUCGACCUCUCCGACACCCCAUGCUCCGAUAACCACUCACAGCCUUCGUUCCCUCCCUUUUCGAUUUGAUUCUAGUCGAGACAUCUCCAAACACACACACACACACACACCAUCCUCCACCUCUGGUCGACGACCGACGACGAGCGCGAGCUCCGACGAGGAUCUUUGGUGCGACAUGAUCGAAGAGAGAAGCUGAGAGAGACGACGGCAGUGCCGCCAUCUGCGUCGGCGGAGACAGUCGCUCAGCCCCGAUUCGGCUCGAUUUUGGUUGGCUGUUUUGAGUUCCGGUUCGGGUCGAGUCUCUUUCAUCGGUGGUUCGGUCUCGGGUCAGCCAAUUCAGCUUCUGCUCGGGUUGCUUCGAUUCAAGUUUUGGUUCCGGUGGAACCGACAAUGGUGGCGGUGGAGGUAUUUAUCAGUUCAGUCCCGAUUCCGUUCAGGUUCGUUUGAGUGAUCAACGCAAGGCGAGUGUUUCCAUCACGGUCUGCUAAUUGUUCCUGCUCAUCUAUUGGGGAUAACUCCAACCGCUUCAAGUUUCCUAAUUCGUGCGCUUAAUUUUUACAAUGGAAUCGCAAUCGCAACCACUCAUACACUCGAGACUUCGGGGUUCCUUCCUCCUAAUCUCUUACGCUCGUCAACACUUGGAUAAUCGGAAGACUUAGCAAUUUUGUUGAUGAUGACGAUGCUAUGAAAAGAAGUAACGUUGAUGCCUAGAUACACAUAUAGACGUUUAGGUUUAAUAUGUUGUAUCAAUUUUGAUUAUGUUGUUACGUAUUUCCUUUGAACAUGUUGUUAUUUGAAUUUCCUUGUAUGUUUGAUAAUUUAUCU
rnacentral:lncRNA from 1 species